rnacentral:rRNA from 1 species
GACGAACGCUGGCGGCGUGCUUAACACAUGCAAGUCGAGCGGUAAGGCCCCUUCGGGGGUACACGGGCGGCGAACGGGUGAGUAACACGUGAGCAAUCUGCCCAUCACAUCGGGAUAACUCCGGGAAACCGAAGCUAAUACCGAAUACGACCACCUCCGGCAUCGGAUGGUGGUGGAAAGUUCCGGCGGUGAUGGAUGAGCUCGCGGCCUAUCAGCUUGUUGGUGGGGUAAUGGCCCACCAAGGCAACGACGGGUAGCCGGCCUGAGAGGGUGACCGGCCACACUGGGACUGAGACACGGCCCAGACUCCUACGGGAGGCAGCGGUGGGGAAUAUUGGACAAUGGGCGAAAGCCUGAUCCAGCAACGCCGCGUGAGGGAUGACGGCCUUCGGGUUGUAAACCUCUUUCAGCGGGGACGAAGCGAAAGUGACGGUACCCGCAGAAGAAGCACCGGCCAACUACGUGCCAGCAGCCGCGGUAAUACGUAGGGUGCGAGCGUUGUCCGGAAUUAUUGGGCGUAAAGGGCUCGUAGGCGGUUUGUCGCGUCGGGAGUGAAAACUCAGGGCUUAACCCUGAGCCUGCUUCCGAUACGGGCAGACUAGAGGUAUGCAGGGGAGAACGGAAUUCCUGGUGUAGCGGUGAAAUGCGCAGAUAUCAGGAGGAACACCGGUGGCGAAGGCGGUUCUCUGGGCAUUACCUGACGCUGAGGAGCGAAAGUGUGGGGAGCGAACAGGAUUAGAUACCCUGGUAGUCCACACCGUAAACGUUGGGCGCUAGGUGUGGGACUCAUUCCACGAGUUCCGUGCCGCA